UAGGGAAUCUUCCACAAUGGGCGAAAGCCUGAUGGAGCAACGCCGCGUGUGUGAUGAAGGGUUUCGGCUCGUAAAACACUGUUGUAAGAGAAGAAUGACAUUGAGAGUAACUGUUCAAUGCGUGACGGUAUCUUACCAGAAAGGAACGGCUAAAUACGUGGCCAG
rnacentral:rRNA from 1 species